rnacentral:lncRNA from 1 species
UCAUUUUCAUUUGGUUUCUUUUCCAUAUAGACUGUAGCUUUAUGGGACCUGCGUAAUCUGAAACUAAAACUCCACACCUUUGAAUCCCAUAAGGAUGAAAUUUUUCAGGUCCACUGGUCUCCACAUAAUGAAACUAUUCUGGCUUCAAGUGGUACUGAUCGCCGCCUGAAUGUGUGGGAUUUAAGUAAAAUUGGAGAAGAACAAUCAGCAGAAGAUGCAGAGGAUGGGCCUCCAGAGCUCCUGGUAUGCAUUAGAUUAAAUAUCAUGCACACUUAUUUUUUACUAGUUGAUCUUAGGAAUUGGGUCCCUCAGAGCUUCAAAUGUUAGCUUGCCAAUGAUUUCAAAAAAGGAAGUCCAGGAAGUUUUUGUGAUUAGCCUCUAACAUUUAUCACCUAUAGUAAGUGAAGCCCCAAAAGGUUUUUGGAAAUGUUUGCUUAAGGGUGACUUGAGCUAUUGAUUUCAGGUAUAAUGGUUUCCUUUUAGUCUUUGGGUGGGGGGUUGGGGGGUAGUGUUACUGCUAUCUGAUUACCAUUACUUACUAACAAUACAGAAAAACUUAUAAUCACUUUUCUAUGAAAUACUGACAGGCUUAAUAAUGGUUCUUUGUCCCUUUUCUGAAUUGUUCACCAUUUGUCUCCUCCAAUCAUUUGGUCAUUGUCUCUAAUGUAUGUCUUAGCACUUAUGUAUUAAUGUG